ACGGGUAGCCGGCCUGAGAGGGCGACCGGCCACACUGGGACUGAAACACGGCCCAGACUCCUACGGGAGGCAGCAGUGGGGAAUAUUGCACAAUGGGCGAAAGCCUGAUGCAGCGACGCCGCGUGAGGGAUGACGGCCUUCGGGUUGUAAACCUCUUUCAGCAGGGAAGAAGCGAAAGUGACGGUACCUGCAGAAGAAGCGCCGGCUAACUACGUGCCAGCAGCCGCGGUAAUACGUAGGGCGCGAGCGUUGUCCGGAAUUAUUGGGCGUAAAGAGCUCGUAGGCGGCUUGUCACGUCGGUUGUGAAAGCCCGGGGCUUAACCCCGGGUCUGCAGUCGAUACGGGCAGGCUAGAGUUCGGUAGGGGAGAUCGGAAUUCCUGGUGUAGCGGUGAAAUGCGCAGAUAUCAGGAGGAACACCGGUGGCGAAGGCGGAUCUCUGGGCCGAUACUGACGCUGAGGAGCGAAAGCGUGGGGAGCGAACAGGAUUAGAUACCCUGGUAGUCCACGCCGUAAACGGUGGGCACUAGGUGUGGGCAACAUUCCACGUUGUCCGUGCCGCAGCUAACGCAUUAAGUGCCCCGCCUGGGGAGUACGGCCGCAAGGCUAAAACUCAAAGGAAUUGACGGGGGCCCGCACAAGCGGCGGAGCAUGUGGCUUAAUUCGACGCAACGCGAAGAACCUUACCAAGGCUUGACAUACACCGGAAACGAC
rnacentral:rRNA from 1 species